UACGUAGGGUGCGAGCGUUAAUCGGAAUUACUGGGCGUAAAGUGUGCGCAGGCGGCCGCGCAAGUCGAGUGUGAAAGCCCCGAGCUUAACUUGGGAAUUACGCUCGAAACUACGUGGCUGGAGUGUGGCAGAGGAAGGUGGAAUUCCAGGUGUAGCGGUGAAAUGCGUAGAGAUCUGGAGGAACACCGAUGGCGAAGGCAGCCUUCUGGGCCAACACUGACGCUCAUGCACGAAAGCGUGGGGAGCAAACAGG
rnacentral:rRNA from 1 species